rnacentral:lncRNA from 1 species
UUCUAUACUCACAUACUAGAUCACAUUUGGCCUUUGGCAAUUCAGUAAACAUUUUAGCAAUUUCUUCUUUCCUGCCUGCUGAAGACUGACUUCCUCCUGCUGCCAAAGGUUUGCAGUGCUUAUUUAAGUUCUAGAGUCUGGACGUCUGAGAUCAGGGUGCCAGCACUGUCGAGGUCACAGACUGCAGACCUCCUUGUAUCUUCAAAUGGAGGAAAGAGGACAAGAGAGCUCCUGUGGUCCCUUUUAUCAAGAUGAAUGCACAAGGAAAAUGUUGUACAUUUGCACAUUGGAGUACACUUCAGCCAUAAAAAGAAUGAGAUGCUGUCAUUUGCAACAACAGAGUUGUGCAGUCAUCAGUUAUCUUCAUGGGACGAGUAUGUCCGGAGGGGAGGAAAAUCUGAUAAAAAAUAUUGAAAUUCAAUGAAGGCUUCCACUGCUUAACAAAUGUUACAUAGAAUUCUUCACCGAUGUGAGGAACAUCAGUUUGCAAAAGAAACUCUGCACUUUCAGGGAUAAAAAGACUGAGACUCCAAAUGGUGCUCCUAGUAUUGGUGAAGCUUAGGGAGAGAGCCCAUUGUGUUUCUAUCUAACUGCUCUCAGGAAAAGGUAGAAAAUGUCUCAGAUUCCACAAGAAAGAUAGAAUGUGUGAUAAGAUGACAAUCAGGCCACAACAGAAUAUCCUAGUAGGGUACAUAAAUUAGCAUCAACAUGGACCAAUUAGCAAGGAAGUGUCUUCAUAAUAUUCCCGUAAUUAGACUCUCAUUAGCUUGAUAUUUGAUGCUGGACUAACCCUAUUUGAAUGAUAUAAGCACUGGUACUUAGAAUUUUCAGAGACUGGUGCCCCUAAUGGAAAAAUGCAGGAUGAAAUGCUAGUGAAGAUUAACUGGGAGAAAAAUAGGUAAAUGUGAAAAAGAAAACGUGUGUCUGACUGUAUACAGAGUUCUAAUUGUAAAAAAUUAAUCGAAUGUAUAAAAUAUCGACAG